AUACGGAGGGGGCUAGCGUUGUUCGGAAUUACUGGACGUAAAGCGCGCGUAGGCGGCUUAUCAAGUUAGGCGUGAAAGGCCUGGGCUCAACCCGGGAACUGCGCUUAAUACUGGUAGACUUGAGUCCGGGAGAGGGUGGCGGAAUUCCCAGUGUAGAGGUGAAAUUCGUAGAUAUUGGGAAGAACACCAGUGGCGAAGGCGGCCACCUGGCCCGGUACUGACGCUGAGGUGCGAAAGCGUGGGGAGCAAACAGGAUUAGAUACCCCAGUAGUCC
rnacentral:rRNA from 1 species